rnacentral:lncRNA from 1 species
AGAGAAUGAUAGAUUAUGUAGAUCAAUGGAUGAAAAUGGCAGUGAGAAAAAUGAGAUGCUACAUAAAUUAAUUUUUGACUAAAUUACAAGACAAAUUUUACACUAACAAUGCAUAAAGAUUGAAGAUGCGCUUGACAAACAUUACUAGCUAUUUCAUAUUCUACGAUUUUGGUAACAAUUUUUACAAUUUAUAAUUUACAUUUAGAUGAUGACUAAUCUCUAAUUUCUUGUAAGUUGGUCAACUGGCACUCUGUCACAAAUUGGCCAACAAGUCUCUCUUACAUAACAAAUGUCCUUUGGAAUGUCACCUACCUAUAAUAGCACAGGAGGAGGAAAAAAACUGUUUGGUAGCUGCCAUGAAAGAGAUCAACUAAGGAAAUCAGUCUUGAGCAAGAAUAUUUUCUGGACUUUCAGAACUAAAUAUUUGGAAAAAAUAACAUUUUGUAAUUAUGUGGACUCUUUGUUGGAAGAAUUGUGGUCCCAGACAGUUCAAUCUUGAAAUUCAUCAGGCCCGAUGUUUACUUUAUCAGGAUUAAAUACAAGAAUUCACCCACAGAUUCAUUUCAAACAUUUGUAUUAACUUUGAC